GUAGGGUGCAAGCGUUAUCCGGAAUCAUUGGGCGUAAAGAGCUCGUAGGCGGUUCAGCAAGUCGGCUGUGAAAUCCCGAGGGCUUAACCUCGGAACUGCAGUCGAUACUGCUGUGACUAGAGUCCGGUAGAGGAGAAUGGAAUUCCCGGUGUAGCGGUGAAAUGCGCAGAUAUCGGGAGGAACACCAGUAGCGAAGGCGGUUCUCUGGGCCGGUACUGACGCUGAGGAGCGAAAGCGUGGGUAGCAAACAGGAUUAGAUACCCUGGUAGUCCACGCCGUAAACGUUGGACACUAGUGUGGCGUUCCGACCAACGGGUGCCGUGCCGAAGCUAACGCAUUAAGUGUCCCGCCUGGGAGUACGGCCGCAAGGCU
rnacentral:rRNA from 1 species